GACGGAGGGUGCAAACGUUGUUCGGAAUUACUGGGCGUAAAGCGCGUGUAGGCGGCAUGGCAAGUCGGGUGUGAAAGCCCUGGGCUCAACCUAGGAAGUGCACUCGAAACUGCCACGCUUGAGUUUUGGAGAGGAAGGCGGAAUUCUCGGUGUAGAGGUGAAAUUCGUAGAUAUCGGGAGGAACACCGGUGGCGAAGGCGGCCUUCUGGACAAUGACUGACGCUGAGACGCGAAAGCGUGGGGAGCAAACAGG
rnacentral:rRNA from 1 species